rnacentral:lncRNA from 9 species
GCUGCACAGUAUUUGUUGCUGCCAGACAUGAAUGGGGAAAAGAAAUCAAUGAGUGUUUUGCAAGGAGAGUCCUCAGAACCUUUCGUUUGAACAUCUCAAGGGGAAAAACAGCCUUGGCCUCUCCGGGAAGCUUCUAUUGAUGACG